UGGGAAUUUGGACAAUGGGCGAAGCCUGAUCCAGCAAUGCCGCGUGUGUGAAGAAGGCCUUCGGGUUGUAAAGCACUUUUGUCCGGAAAGAAAUCCUUGGCUCUAAUACAGUCGGGGGAUGACGGUACCGGAAGAAUAAGCACCGGCUAACUACGUGCCAGCAGCCGCGGUAAUACGUAGGGUGCAAGCGUUAAUCGGAAUUACUGGGCGUAAAGCGUGCGCAGGCGGUUUGCUAAGACCGAUGUGAAAUCCCCGGGCUCAACCUGGGAACUGCAUUGGUGACUGGCAGGCUAGAGUAUGGCAGAGGGGGGUAGAAUUCCACGUGUAGCAGUGAAAUGCGUAGAGAUGUGGAGGAAUACCGAUGGCGAAGGCAGCCCCCUGGGCCAAUACUGACGCUCAUGCACGAAAGCGUGGGGAGCAAACAGGAUUNGAUACCCUGGUAGUCCACGCCCUAAACGAUGUCAACUAGUUGUUGGGGAUUCAUUUCCUUAGUAACGUAGCUAACGCGUGAAGUUGACCGCCUGGGGAGUACGUCGCAAGAUUAAAC
rnacentral:rRNA from 1 species